AUCCUUACCUGGCAAGGGAGAUACCAUGAUCACGAAGGUGCCUUUCCCAGGGCGAGGCUUCUCCAUUGCACUCCGGAUGUGCUGACCCCUGCAAUUUCCCCCAGUGUGGGAAACUUAUCUGCACAAAUUGUGAUAGUGGGGAGCUGUGUGCAUGCUUUUCCUUG
ensembl:snRNA U1 U1 spliceosomal RNA